rnacentral:rRNA from 1 species
UACGUAGGGGGCAAGCGUUGUCCGGAAUCAUUGGGCGUAAAGAGCGUGUAGGCGGCCAGAUAAGUCCGCUGUGAAAACUCGAGGCUCAACUUCGAGCUGUCGGCGGAAACUAUCUGGCUAGAGUCCGGAAGAGGAGAGUGGAAUUCCUGGUGUAGCGGUGAAAUGCGCAGAUAUCAGGAAGAACACCCGUGGCGAAGGCGGCUCUCUGGGACGGUACUGACGCUGAGACGCGAAAGCGUGGGGAGCAAACGGG